AUACUCUGGUUUCUCUUCAAGUCGUAUAAAUCUUUUGCUUUUUACUAAAGAUUUCCAUGGAAAGGAACAAUUCUGAGUCUUAGUCCAAUUUUUUGAGGCCCUGUUUCUGUGGGACU
ensembl:snRNA U5 U5 spliceosomal RNA